UAGGGAAUCUUCGGCAAUGGACGAAAGUCUGACCGAGCAACGCCGCGUGAGUGAAGAAGGUUUUCGGAUCGUAAAACUCUGUUGUUAGAGAAGAACAAGGACGUUAGUAACUGAACGUCCUCUGACGUUAUCUAACCAGAAAGCCACGGCUGACUACGUGCCAGCAGCCGCGGUAAUACGUAGGUGGCAAGCGUUGUCCGGAUUUAUUGGGCGUAAAGCGAGCGCAGGCGGUUUCUUAAGUCUGAUGUGAAAGCCCCCGGCUCAACCGGGGAGGGGCAUUGGACACUGGGGGACUUGAGUGCAGAAGAGGAGAGUGGAAUUCCAGGAGUAGCGGUGAAAUGCGUAGAUAUAUGGGGGAACACCAGUGGCGAAGGCGGCUCUCUGGUCUGUAACAGAAGCUGAGGCUCGAAAGCGUGGGGAGCAAACAGG
rnacentral:rRNA from 1 species